GUCUCCCCAUCCUUCUCAAUCUAAUUACCCAACAGGACUGUGGAAUAUAACACUAGAGAUACUGCUAAUUUGGAGGAAUGCUGAAUCCUUCUCAAAGUAUAAAGAGUAUAUUUUAACAUUUUAUUACUUUGUGUAAUCAUUUGAAUGCUCUGUGGAAAGAACAGUGUGGACAUUUUACAAGGAAAAUGGUUGACUUGGACAAGGUCACAAGACAAAUACAGAGACAAAAGAAAUGAGAAACUGAUGUUUCUCCAGGCCAGAAAAAUACAUACACGUGGAGGCCUGUUGCUCAAAAUGGAAAAUUUGGAAAAGGUCCUCUCUACAACCAGACCUCUGAUAAAAAGCUGAGAAUUGCAGGGAUGAGAGGAGCAACAGGGC